AGUGAAUUCCAGGCCAACCAGGGCUACAUAGUGAGACCCUAUCUAAAAAAGAAACAAACAGAAACAGUUCUAGAGGUAUGGGCAUCUUUCCAAUGGGCAAUGUCAGAAGAUGAAAAGGACAGAUGUUUUCUUCCUGUUGCCUCUCUUCCUUUAACACAUAAAUUGGUUUAUUUAAGGUUUAAUGAAUCAUAGAAAACAGCAAGUUACUUUAGUAUACUUAGGACAAAAAGUCAUAUGUAUAUACAUACAUAUAUACAUAUUAAAUAUAAGUAUACAAUAGAAAUAUAUUUAUAAAUAUAUAUAAGUAUAUAAAUAAAAAGUUAAAAUUGGUGGCCUGAGUAGAUAAGACAGGUAAGAGUACUUGUUUUACAAACAUGAGUGCCAGAGCCCUUAUGCUUAGAAUCCACGUAAAAUUCAAGCAUGGCUAUAGAUGCUACAACUCCCUGUGGGCAGGAAACUCUUGAUCCCUGGAGUUUGCUGGCCUCUCAAACCUGGAACAAAUGGCUAACUGAGAUGUCUGUUUAUCAUAUCGAAGCAGACCUGGAUGCCAUGUUCUCCCAACAUCCCUCAGCCCUUACUUGUUACAGGGUAUGGUUGGCAUACCCAGGUCUUUCCCCUAAACUCUCAAGCCUAGGAGCUUUCCCCUUGCCGUCCUUCCCUAUAUAAUGCAGCCACCUUGGUUAGCCGGCUGUUUGUUUUGUCUACCCUUUACCUUUAGCCUCUCGGUCUCUUGGUCUCUGCUCUCCUCUCUUCCCCGGCUCCACUCCUCACAUUGUCUAGCUCAGGAUCAUUUCCACUCUGGACCCUUCAAGAUGCCUCUAGCCAUGCUCUCCCUCAUAUCUACCAUAAAUCUCCUCCACCAUCCCUAGGAGUGGUCAUGUCUCUCCCUAACUAAAACGUUAAAAGUUAACAGGGGCCGCUUAUCUAUAGGCAAGUCAUAAGAAAUGCAGUAUACCUCCCAAUGUUCCUGCAUUGGUAUCUGUCUACAGACAGACAAGGACAGUGACAGGACAGAGAGAGGUGAGCGAUGCUUCAGGUCCAGCCAGACACUUGCUUUCCUGACUACAGGAUUGUAUAAAAAUAAAAGACUACCUUAUCGUGACCGUUCCAAGAAUGACAGACACCUGCAAAUUUGGAAGCACUAAGCCAGCAUUUCAGCUGAAACACCAUCUUCCACUACCCAUUUAGCUAUCCUUUGAGUUUCUUUAAAAGACAUUGUUUUUGGAAGAGCAGACUUCCUUUUUCUUGAAGGCGGGAUCAACAGAAAAGCCAAAGACUUGUGGUUAGGGCAUUUGUGGGAGAAGCCACGCUAUGAAGGCUGCAUUCGGACACUGGGUAUGUUGGAGGACACACAGCAUUUCCUUAUGUGGUGAGUUACAGUGAGGGAGUGGCCAGCAGUGAGAGAUGAGGCAGCUUCAAACUCUGUCUGGCAUCCUUCACAGGAGUGGUCCAGCUCCUGCCUUGAGGACAGAACACAAGAAAAACAGCCAGAUUGGGAACAGGGAAACUUCCUGUCUAACUCAAAUCAAUUGCAGAAUUUCCUGAGAGAUUUGCUUCAGGUGUGAGUCAUACAGAAAUAUGCAGAGUAAGGAGCAUGGGGCUGCUGAGUGGGGCUGCUGAGUGGGGGUUGCUGAGUGAGGGGCUCUGAGUGAGGGGUUUUGAGUGAGGGGUUCUGAGUGAGGGGUUGCUGAGAGGUCAUUGAAAAGGUCAGCAGGACAUGAGAUCAAAACAAAACUCCGAUUGCAGCUUGAAACAUUGAUCCUAUCUUUGGCUUUUUCUCUUUCUUUCUCUCUUUCUCUCUUUCUUUCUCUCUCUCUUUCUCUCUUUCUUUCUUUCUUUCUUUCUUUCUUUCUUUCUUUCUUUCUCUCUCUCUUUUUCUCUUUUUCUCUUUUUCUCUUUCUUUCCUUCCUUCCUUCCUUCCUUUCUUUCUUUCUUUCUUUCUUUCUUUCUUUCUUUCUUUCUUUCUUUCUUUCUUUCUUUCUUUUAAAUAUAUUUUUCCUUGCGAGCUAAGCCAAAGGCUUGACUUUAAACACACAAACAGGCAAUUCUAGCUAUAUUCCUGUCAUUUAUUCCAAGCCACCCUUUCAGAACAGGACUGGGAGAAGAGUUUGGCAACGCAGGUCUGGUUCUCACAAACACAGCCUCACAAGGUGAAGGCUCCGUUGCCUAGGAAGCUGACCCAAAGUAAUGUCCACGUGAAUGGAUAAUCUCCCUUACUAGGAAUCAAACAACUUUCUGGGGCGGGAUGAUGACCAAGAAGGGGUGAGUAGAUUUGUUUACACUGUUAAAUGAUAGUCUUUUUUUUUUUUUUUUUCCUUUUCCGGUUUUUUGAGACAGGAUUUCUCUGUGUAGCCCUGGUUGUCCUGGAACUCACUCUGUAGAUCAGGCUGGCCUCUGCCUCCCAAGUGCUGGGAUUAAAGGCAUGUGCCACUACUGCCUGGCCUAGACAAACAUUUUAAACUAAGAAAUAUAUUUUAAAAUCACAAUACACACACACUUAUGUCUUUUAGAAUUAAAAACUUUUAUAAAGAGAUAACUGUUUUGAUAAAAAACAUUCUCGAAAUUUCUGCUUCUUUCUUUCUUUUUUUCUUUCUUUCCUUUUUUGUUUGUUUGUUUGUUUGUUUGUUUGUUUCACAUAGCAAAUGUCAUUUGAAGGCCAGGUGUGGUGGUGCAUAUACGUGCCUGUUCUCCUAGCAUCUGGGACGCUAAAGCAGGAGGAAAAGAAGUUCAAAGCCAGUCUAGGCUACCUAGUGAGUUUAAGGCUAGCCUUGGCUACAGAGCAAGACACUGUCACAAAUUUUCUUUUCUUUUGAAAACUUUAAAGGUGAUUUUCAACAAGUUAUAUAAAAAAAUUGCAAUAGACUAUACUUCAACUGAUGAUAGUACUGUAUAUAGUUGGGUACUGUGGGAACAGACUAAAUGUAUCCUUUAAAAAAAAAAAAAUCCAGGCGUUGAAAUCAUGAGUCACAAUGAGAUGUUUUAAGGAGAUGUUACCUUCAAUCUAUUCCUAUGGACCAGGGUAGACAGGUCAUGAGGUUUCCAUGAGCAGAGAGUAAGGGGUCAUGGACUUCUGUGAACAGGAAACAGGCCCUUACCUGUCACUGAAGUUGGUACCUUAAUGUUAAAUUUUGUAAUCUCUGUAACUAUGAGAAAUAAGUUUCUAUUAUUUAUAAGCUAUUUGAUUGGUGGUAGUUUUUUAUAGCAUGUUGAAUGGUUUACAGAAAACAGUGCUAGGCCAACUCACGACUAAGAGUAAUGGUAGCUCACAUGUCUGGGCCCACACUAGUUACCAUUUGUUCACAUUUCUUAGAGGAUAUUAGGCUAUUGUCCCUCUAGCCUCAGUCUGGAUGAUCGGCAUUAAAUACCUCACACUGAGAAGGAAAGCCCUAAAUCACCAGACUGAGAGUAAAAGAUGGGCUUGUAGCCGGUCCAGACAGAAAACCAGUCUGCUCUCCUGGCCUCAGGCUAAUGAAAGAGUGCAGCGGAGGCAGCUGAGGGGCUGUGUGCUGGAUAUCCGCCCUGGAGGGGAGGGAGGUCACUCUGACUUCACCUGCACUUAAGCGAGAAGGGAUCUGAGGCUCUGGAACUGAAGACUGCAUGGGAAGGGGUGUCCCCUCAAUCCACAUGGCACUGGAAGGGGGCCUGCCAGCACCAGUGUAAGGCAGGUAAGGAACCCUAAGUGAGAAUGCAGACCAGAGGAGAAAAGCUAGGAACAGGGGCUUGCUGCUAAAAGGAGGGGGCGGGGAGCAGGGUGGAGUGGAGGGCGGAGAAAAGGCCAAGCCUGCUCCUCCAGUCCACAAAUGUCCCAGCCAGGUCCUAGCUUUCCUGGGAUACAGGAUGGGUAGGGUGGGGGAAGGUCUUAUACAGGACUACACGGAGUUUAGAUUACUGUACAGGACAGACUUUUAAUUACUAUAAUGAUCAGUUUCAGAUGGGAAAGGCUCUCUCUUUGUGCUUCCGCAAAGUGAUGGGAUUGGCUGGAAUUUCACCCAGCACAGGGAGAGAAGAGAGACCACAAGGCAGGAGUCUGCUGCAGGAGGAGGAAAGAUGACGUUUGCACGGGACUGUGGAUUCUCCGGGCUCUCCAUAGUCAAUGGUUACUGAACACAUUACACAUCUAAUCCUUCCAAGGGCUCCAUGAUGUCAUCGCUUUGCUAUUUGCUUUCUACAGAUGAGGAGACUGGUGCUCACAGGACAGUUAGGUCAUCUCCAGGCUAAGUUUCACACACCAUGGCAGGGGGAGCCAAGGUUGAAACCUAGGCAGUCUCCUGUGGGGUGUAAGGAACACAAAGGCAAAGCUAAAACCCCAACCAGGAGUUAAAAUACUGGCUUCCAGAUUUUAUACAUCUGUUUUUUAUUUAUGAUAUAUGCACAUAUAAGACAUGCAGGUAUACUUACUUAUAAAUCAUAUACGUAUAUAAUGUAAAGAUAUGCCCUCAAUAUAAGCUUUAGGUUUGGAAUCCAAACACACUUUAGGGCUGUACAGAGACAGAUUCUUGAGGUAGAAUUCUGCGAUUGUGUUCUACUUUAGAAUUUGCUGGGGCUUGAGAGAGAUGGCUUAGUAGUUAAGAGCACUGACUGCUCUUCCAGAGGACCCGGAUUCAAUUUCCAGAAACCACACAACAGUUUACAACAGUCUGUAACUUCAGUUCUGGGGAUCCGACAGCCCCCCACAGAUAUGCAUGUAGGCAAAUAGCAACGCACAUCAAAUUAAAAGUAAACAAUCAUUUAGAAUCUGUCACUACAGUCCCAGGAAACCAGGACGAACCUCUCUUCGGUCUGGACUACUUUUGGCAGAGCUGAUGACUAAACUCCAGGUCUUACCCAUGCCAGGCAAGCGCUCUACCGCGGAGCCACAUCCCCAGCUGUCUGGGAUAGUUUUGUGGAAAGGUUUAAAAGGGUCAAGUUGAAACUAAGGUUUGUGGAGAGUAAGGUUCUAUUGCUGAAGGCAACACUUACACAGCUCUCUCACGGAAUACAGAGACGUCGAACAGGUUCCUCACUAGAGCCUCCACCCCUCCUAACUAGCAUUCAUGUUACCUCAAGUUACUUUGAAAACUACUGAAGAAGAAAGGUAAAGACCAAUCCAGCUACAAACACUGUGAUCUGUAAAUAGUGACCCGCCUAUAGGACGUGGUGGUGUACUGGUGCCACAGGCUUUGUAGGAGUGAUCAACCACUCUCUGAUUAGAUUUAAGGCUCACGUCACAAGAUGGAACUCAUGUCUGGCAUUGUUCAUAUAUCAAAGAACCUGAGACAAGAUAUACUAUGGGCUUAGGGAAAAACUGAGUCCUGUUGUUCUGCUAAAGGAACAUAACGAUGAAAUGACUCCAAGGAACAGUGUCCUGCAGACACAACAGGACUGGUGUACACAUGAACUCACAGAGAUUGUAGCAGCAGGCCCAGGGCCUGCCCAGGUUCAAGCCAGACAAGUAAGUCCCAGUACUAAGAGGGGACAGUGAACAUGAGCUCCCAGGCUCCUAGAUGUUUCCCCAAGGAAGAAGCAGCUCAGUGGAAUUGCCUGGACCUUUGGAAAACUCCAGGGACUCCAGUUCUUAGGCUUCUGCUCAAAUGAGAAUUAGAAUGGAGUCAUUUGCACCUCCUGUCUAUGGAAAUGAGCAAUUCUUCUUGUUAAAAAAAUUCACUGAGCUUUUUGGCGUCACAUGGGAUGGCCACAAAACCCUGUGCAAGUUGCGGACCUGACAAGAAUGUGGGAUUAGUUACAGUUUUAACAGCUCGGCAUUUGCUGAACAUGUUCAAAGUCAAGUUAACAGGGCUUUUUGUUGUUCUUGCAAUCCUCGAGUGUCAUUUACAGCCAUUUAAAAUUAAUAUUUAACCAAACUUAUAUAAACACACGUGAGUGUGUAAAUGUAAUGACUUGGCCUUUUGAUGCCCGCUUUCAGGAGCAGGUGCUAACACGUGCUAGAAUUCUCCAGAUCUUACUUCCUAGAGAGCAUGGAACAGGGGGACAGAAGAUAGUUAAAAAAAAAAAAAAGAUCUCUGAGAACUCUCGAGGGAGGGGAGAUGUUGGGUCUGUGUGGCCCAGUGUGGCAGCCUUUUAGCCACAUCUGACACUUGAGUAGAGUAACUGAAGAACUGGGGGUGGGGGUGGGGGUGGGGGGGAAAGGAAGGAGGAGGGAGAGAAGAUAUAUGUCUGGAUAUGGAUGUGGUACAUGUGGAUGCCAGAGACUAAUAUUGAGACAUCUUCCUAAUUCCUUCUCCAUCGUAGUUUUUUGAGACAGAGUCUCUCCCUGAGUUGGAGUUUGCCAUUUCAGGCCACUGUCUGACCAACAAGCCCUUGGGAUCUGUCUCCACGCCCUACCACUGGGGCUACAGGCCUCUAUCUCAGGCUAUUCCGUGGUUGCUGGGGAUCCAAAGUUCAGCCUCCACGCUUGCACAUAAGCAGUUUACCAACCGAGCCACUUUCCCAGCCUCUGAACUUUUUGUUCAAUUUAAAUUCAAAUGGCCACAUAUAAGACAUAGACUGAAAGAUCCUUUUUUUUUAAAAAAAAAAAAAACAAUUUAGUACUAUUUUUUUAUCUUGAAAAAUAUUACAUUUAAAAAGAACUUCAAUAUUAUCCAAAGUUGUGCUCACUAUUAAGCAAGACUGUAAAGCGUAUCUCCUGACCCUUUGUACCCACCAGGAAUGCACAAGCAGUAAAGUUAGACAAUGAAAACUCUCUUGCGGUUUAAUCCCAGGAUUCCUUCCAUGCACAUGACUUAUUGUAGGCUAUUAAUAAAUGACAGAUAAAUCAUUUAUGAAUGAAGUGAUAGAUAAGUUGUUUAAACCUCUGAUUGAAAAGGAAAAGGAAAAGAAAAUUCGGUAAGGUUAAAACAUUCCUCUGAAAUUGAGGGGAGGGAGGGGAGGAGGAGGAGAGACAGACUGAGAGACAGCAACAGAGACAGAGAGACAGACAGAGACACAGAGAUGAGAAUUGUGUGCCCCAUGCUAAGCGGUCUCAUCUUCUUUCAAAAUGGUUCAUGAUCCACGCAUAGUAGAUCAGUGUGUGUGUGUGUGUGUGGGGGGGUGCCUGGCAGUGAAGAACGUUAAUUAGCAUGCUGGACUGAUGACCAGUAUGUGUGGAAGCUGAAUGCAGUUGCCCCUGGUAUUCAGGGAAGAUUGGCUCAAUAGCUCCUCAACAGAAGACAAAAUUAUGUGAUGUGCAAGAGCGCUCUCUGAGUGCCAUAGUUUUUGUAUAUAAGCUAUGCAUAUUCCCUAGCCUUCCAUGUGUGUGGUGGGGAAUAGUAGAAGGGCGUGUUUGCAUCCCACUCCACAGGUACCACGGUGUAUAUGGAGGUCACAGGAUAACGUGUGGAAGUCAGUUCUCUCCUUCUACCAUUUAGGUCCUGUCUUAGUCAGGGUUUCUAUUCCUGCACAAACAUCACGACCAAGGAGCAAGUUGGGGAAGAAAAGGUUUAUUCAGCUUGCAUUUCCACAUUGCUGUUCAUCAUUUAAGGAAGUCAGGACUGGAACUCAAGUAGGUCAGGAAGCAGGAGUGGAUGCAGAGGCCUUGGAGGGAUGUUUCUUACUGGCUUGCUUCUCCUGGCUUGCUCAGCUGUUUUCUUAUAGAACCCAAGACUACCAGCCCAGGGAUGGCACCACCCACAAGGAGCCCUCCCCGCUUGAUCACUAAUUGAGAAAAUGCCCCACAACUGGAUCUCUUGGAGGUAUUUUCCCAAAUGAAGCUCCUUUCUCUGUGAUAACUCCAGCCUGUGUCAAGUUGACACAUAAAACCAGCCAGCACAGGUCCCACCCAGGGAUUGAACUCAGGUAAUCAGGUUUGGCUCCAAGCACCCUUACAGGCUGAGCCAUGUCCCAAGCCCCUAGUAUGAUUCAGAACAUCUUUAUGGUAGAAACACUAAUGAAACAUGUCAUGUAAAUAGUAGCUGCCCUGUAUUGUUUGGGGGAAUAAUGGCAGGGUAAAAACAUACCCAUGCAAUUCCUAUCCAAGCCUUUCUGGUCUGUGCUUGGCUGAAUCUGCACAUGUGGGACCCCAGGAUACAGGAUACAAAGGACACCCUGGGAAAGCUUCUCGGGUGUUAACCGUUCUACUACCCAGGAAUGUCCCCACCUGGCUUUAGGACUUUUAAAGCUGUAGAUUGAAUCAAAGGUUUUCCUCCUCUAGGAACCCCUCAAUUAUCUUUUCUGCUUUAGGACAAAUAAGCAUUUCUAUAUAAUAACUGUUAAACUGUGAGAGCCGACUUCUAGUGACCUUCCAAAGGUGAGUUAACAGCUACAGAUGUUAACUUGAUCACAGAUGAUCACUGCCUGAAGAGAAUAGGGCUAUGAUUCUAUUAUUUAUUCAUCUAGUCUUUUUUCUUGUUGUACUGAGUAUGCAUAUGUCUGAGUGUGAUAUAGUAAAUUAUUCUAAAAUGAAGACUGGGUAGUACUUCAUAGUACAUUCUGUGAUGUUUAAAUGUGGAUGUCUGUGAGCACGUUACUCUUCUGGUAUGUGUGUUUUGCAUUAGUCUAUCAUUUUUUACUGGGCCUUGGUAUUUCGUUUCUUAUAGUACUUUUCUCCCUCUAUUCAUGUCUCCUUGUGGCUUUCUGAAGCUACUUGAACAACUUGUCCUCUCCCAAUCGGUCAUGUGAUGCUCUGUAAAUCCCUAGAAGAUCCUUCAGAACCACUGGGGUAAACCCCAGCUGCCUGCUAGGCUGCCAUCUUCCUUUGAGAUGAUGGGACAUUAGGUUGGAAACUGAAGUUAUUUACUAUGUCGUUUGGCCCAGAUUAGCAGCUGUCAGAUCUUCUAAUCCAGCGAUAGAAUCUAGGAGGGAAGUGAUUUCAUCCCUGAAGCAUAUACAGAAACUUCAAGAUGACUUGGAGAAUGUCUGAAGACUUACAUCUUCCCAGAAUGUCGGGGCCCUCUAGCCAAAGAGCAACUGUUCAAAAUUUUCACCAUUCUCGGAGUUACUUAUUUUGGUUUAAUUCUGAAAGCCCUUGAGUUCAUCAGCAUGCAAAAGGAAUUUUCUUUGGAUGUCAUGACUCACACUCGGGUUUGCAGAGAAGAUAAGUGUUGGGUGAUGCACACAGUGUUCUGGCCAGGGACUUAACUUGACAGCAGCAAGGAAGCAGGAGCUGUGGUUGACUGUAGGGCUGGGAGCAAAGAGCAAAGCCCCUUAGCCUGCACACACACACACACACACACACACACACACACACACACACACACACACACAGAGCUAACAUCUGAACACCUACAGGACUCUCCUUGUUAAGAUGGAGUCCCACUGGUUAGCUGAUUGAUUCUCCAGUCUGCUAACUAAUUCCAUGCUAACAGCCUAAAUUAAAAGUUAAUGAAACACAGCCAGGGCCCCAUUAUAUGUCACAUGUAAUGGCCUUUCAUUACAAAAAAACCUGGGGCUUCAUCAAAAGGGAAAUGUCUGGGAGAUCACUCUGGGUUGGAAGGCACCCACAGCCAGAAUAUCCCUGAGCUCAGUGUGCCUGCCUGCCAAGUCUCAGGGCAGCUGCUUCACAGAGUCAGGAAAAGAAAUCCCCACAGGUAUCCUGUGAGCAGACUGACCAGAGCUCACAAAGCAGUAUUGUUUGUGGCCCAGCAGGGUCUGCUUGGGAUGAGAAAAGUCUGUUGGAGUAGACUACUAUGCACUUAACAGCUUCACACUCUCUAGGAAUCUGCUAGGAAACUCACAUUUGACAUGCACUUCCAAGGGAGAAGGAGCUGGGGAAACCCAGGGUCUCCCUGUCACCUCCCAGGGGUCACCACUUGGCUUAAAGGCAGGUGCAAAGAAAUCCAGACUCUCAGGCCUGGCUCGCCUUUGAAGAGUCUUUGCCUCCACACUUUGGUGGUUGCUUGUGAAUUGAUGGUCUCCAAGUCUCUCUCACAUUGUAAACCAAGCUCCUGAUGCCUUCACAGGCCCCGGGAGUUUCUUCCAGUACCUGUAACACCAUGUGCAAGCACUGUCCUGAGUUGGCCUAUGAGCCAGCAUUGCUGUAGACUUCUGGGUAGUUUGUGCUAGAACCCGAGUCACCCUUUACAGUCCUGACUUACCAGUGACUCAUUAGGACCAGGGGAUGGCUAUAGGUGUUCACUGUAUGUGUUCUUCGAGUCCCUAGAGACAAGCUUACAUAACUGUCAAUACAAACACACACACACACACACACACACACACACACACACACACACACACACACACACACACAGAGUGCAGGAGAGAAAUGUGACUCCUUUUAGGGGAUGGUAAUAUUAUUUUAACAUUUAAACAGAGCUCAUUUUGAACAAUUAUAGUGCAAAUUCAUUACUUGCUCUUUAAAAACCACAUUCACAUAGGCAUAUACAUAUUUAAAUAUGUAACCUAACUCCAGAAAGUGGACAAUUCCUACAGGUUACUAUUGGGUCUAUCCACAGCAACAUUUUCCCAAUGACUGUCUACAGGAGGGAGAAAACAUGAGGCUGAGACCAAGCCAGACAGAUGUGGAUUUUUGGAUUUAUCACUGCAGUCAGCACACCCUGCACCUCCUCCCAAUGGCACAGGCGGGAUCAGGAGGAACAGUUUUUAAAUUGCUUUGACCCUACAGCAAGGAGAAAAUGAUAAUGAACACUAAUGAAACUAUAUGAAAACCAUUCGGUGGUUGUUAAGUCAAGUAAAAGAGGCUUCACAAAACUUAUACUAAAAGCAGAGUAAAGAACUGUAAAGAAAAAACACCAAGACUGAGCGAGGAACAAAGCUGCAGAGAGCUAGACAGUCUACUCGAAGAACCGUGCAGGGAACCAUUUUGAAGCCACACCGCUGAUUGUGAAUAUUAAAGAAACUUCUACAUGACUGUAUGUGCUGCUGCAAAGAGAAAGAAAAUACAAGAAUAUGGCACAGUUGCUUAUACACGGUGCAUUACAUGGCUAAUAAUCACAAAAUAGAAUGCGCGUUUGCGGCUACUCCUGAGUAAGGUGUUCGGGAAUAAGGGCAUGUAUAAGUAAAACAGAUGUUUAAAUGGAACUUCCACAUAUAGGUUUUAAAAGGAGAUGCUAUUUCCCUGUCAAAUUGUAUUUCUCUUCAGUAUGUUUAUAUUGAAAAGUCUGAAAUUAAUGGCUCCUAAGGAAUAAAGUGAUGAUUUUA